rnacentral:lncRNA from 1 species
CUGCAUCUCGCUACGCAACCCCAAACUCAAUUCGCGCAAGAGAAAAAGGAGAGACCAUUUUCAAUUUUCCACAGAGCUACCACCGCAACCAUGGUGGCCACCGUGUUUCCGUGGGCCAAACCCGGCGCCUGGGCAUCUCAGAUUCUCUCUCCAAGAUAUCAGUGAUAGCCAGAUUUUCAAACGCCGCCGUAUCGUCUCCUCCCAAGCUUCGUCUUCGAGCUUCCCCUGGAAAGAAGACCAGAGCUUCAAUCUCUGUAACUAUGGCGACUGGGUAUGUUACAGUAAAUGGGAAAUUUAGUACAGUAAAAACCAAAGUUCUUACCUUCUCUGUUUUCAAGAACCCAAUUGCUAGAAUUGUAAAAGUCUCCAUCUUCAUAAAUUAGUGAGCAAUCUUGUUUUACCUAUUUGUUUUUUGUCUUCUUGUUCUUAUGUGGGAAGUGAGCAAGAGGUUCUUCCACCAGCUCUUACUUCUAAAUCGGACCCGCCUCCAGUCUUAGAUGGAACUACAAGAUUGGUGUAGAUUACUAGGUUUUCAGUACUUAAUGGCAUUUAGUUACUAGGCUUUCAGUACCUA